rnacentral:rRNA from 1 species
UACGUAGGUGGCGAGCGUUAUCCGGAAUUACUGGGCGUAAAGCGCACGCAGGCGGCUUUUCAAGUUCGACGUGAAAACUUCCGGCUUAACUGGGAGAGGUCGUUGAAAACUGGGAGGCUUGAGGCAAUGAGAGGGGUGUAGAAUUCCCGGUGUAGUGGUGGAAUGCGUAGAUAUCGGGGGGAAUACCAGUGGCGAAAGCGGCACCCUAGCGUUGUACUGACGCUCAUGUGCGAAAGCGUGGGGAGCGAAC